rnacentral:pre_miRNA from 1 species
ACCACCCGGGGAUCUUGUGAAAAUGAAGAUUCUGAUUUAGUAGGUUGGCCAUGGGACUGAGAUUUUUCAUUUCUAACAAGCUUUUAGGUGAUGCCCA